rnacentral:rRNA from 1 species
GAGUUUGAUCGUGGCUCAGAUUGAACGCUGGCGGCAGGCCUAACACAUGCAAGUCGAGCGGAUGACGGGAGCUUGCUCCUUGAUUCAGCGGCGGACGGGUGAGUAAUGCCUAGGAAUCUGCCUGGUAGUGGGGGACAACGUUUCGAAAGGAACGCUAAUACCGCAUACGUCCUACGGGAGAAAGCAGGGGACCUUCGGGCCUUGCGCUAUCAGAUGAGCCUAGGUCGGAUUAGCUAGUUGGUGGGGUAAUGGCUCACCAAGGCGACGAUCCGUAACUGGUCUGAGAGGAUGAUCAGUCACACUGGAACUGAGACACGGUCCAGACUCCUACGGGAGGCAGCAGUGGGGAAUAUUGGACAAUGGGCGAAAGCCUGAUCCAGCCAUGCCGCGUGUGUGAAGAAGGUCUUCGGAUUGUAAAGCACUUUAAGUU